rnacentral:rRNA from 1 species
AGCAGUAGCCGCGGGAACACGAAGGGUGCAAGCGUUACUCGGAAUUACUGGGCGUAAAGCGUGCGUAGGUGGUGGUUUAAGUCCGUUGUGAAAGCCCUGGGCUCAACCUGGGAAUUGCAGUGGAUACUGGGUCACUAGAGUGUGGUAGAGGAUAGUGGAAUUUCCGGUGUAGCAGUGAAAUGCGUAGAGAUCGGAAGGAACAUCUGUGGCGAAGGCGACUAUCUGGGCCAACACUGACACUGAGGCACGAAAGCGUGGGGAGCAAACAGGAUUAGAUACCCGCGUAGUCCCUGUCUCUUAUAC